UUAAUACACUUUUUUCUUAAAUAUAUACAUGCAUGUGUGUCUUUAUAUAUACAUAAUUCAUGUACACACACAUAUAUUGUGCACACAAAAACUUUUAUUGAUUAUAGAUUUUAUAUAUUAUUUUAAAAUAUAUUAUUAAUUUAAUUGCAGUUAUUUUUUUAUUUUUAUUUUUUUGUCAUUCUGAUUUGUGCUUUUGUCAGUUUUUGCUAUUUAUAAAUAUUAUUAUUUGGGUUUAAUUUUUGUAUUUUUUAUUUCAGUUUUAGCUUAUAAUUUUAGUGCUUCUACUUAAACUUUUUUCAGUUCAUUUCCAAGUCAACAUUUCCAAUUUAUUUUUUAUUUAUUUUUUAUUUCAGUUGACAAAGCUGUUUUUAAUCAUUAUUAGGUUUAGUUAAUGAACCCUGCCUCUUGUUAUCUACCAGACUUCUAUAGAGACACUUUGACCUCACAAUCAGUUGUUAUUGCAUGAAUCCAGUGCGAGCUACAUCUGUGUCCUCUGGUUUGAUUGAUGCAGUGUGACUGUGUGUGUGUUCCAGCAGGAGGCGCUGUAUUCCUGUAACACACUGCGAGAGGAUCGUCCAGCAGGACCACAGGUGCACCUCAGGGCUGGUGGCGCUGUGUCCUCCCAGCCUGGGGUCAGAGGUCAGAGGUCAUCCAGCAGAGGAGAGGAUCCAUCAUGAAUCUGCACAGACAGUGAGCCGCUCGUCAGUAUUCACAGAUAUGAAAGAUGAGUUGAUGGUAAAGGACUGUGAUGCCCUUCAGAAUCACCCAGAUGAUCAGCAUCAGAUGACUCUCACCCGCUCGCCCUGAAAACUGCACUGAAGCAGGUCACACAAGACCACAUCACCUGUAUUAUCUCACUAGCACACAUCCAGACACUUGAGAAGUUUAUAAACUCGCCACAUCCCUCUUCAGUUCAGGGUUAUUAUUGUUAACUAAAUAAGAAAAUAGAAGAGUGUAAGCCGCCUGCGUACUGCUCAGAUUUGCCAAAAUGGNUAAUAAAGUUAAACAGAUUAA
ensembl:lncRNA